GAUGAACGCUGGCGGCGUGCUUAACACAUGCAAGUCGAACGGAAAGGCCACAGCUUGCUGUGGUACUCGAGUGGCGAACGGGUGAGUAACACAUGGGUGAUCUGCCCUGUACUUCGGGAUAAGCUUGGGAAACUGGGUCUAAUACCGGAUAGGAAUCACAUGUGGGUGUGUGGUUGGAAAGCUUUUGCGGUAUGGGAUGAGCUCGCGGCCUAUCAGCUUGUUGGUGGGGUAAUGGCCUACCAAGGCGUCGACGGGUAGCCGGCCUGAGAGGGUGUACGGCCACAUUGGGACUGAGAUACGGCCCAGACUCCUACGGGAGGCAGCAGUGGGGAAUAUUGCACAAUGGGCGGAAGCCUGAUGCAGCGACGCCGCGUGGGGGAUGACGGCCUUCGGGUUGUAAACUCUUUUCGUCAGGGACGAAGCGAAAGUGACGGUACCUGGUUAAGAAGCACCGGCUAACUACGUG
rnacentral:rRNA from 1 species